rnacentral:rRNA from 1 species
UACGUAGGUGGCAAGCGUUGUCCGGAUUUAUUGGGUUUAAAGGGCCAGUAGGCGGCCAACUAAGUCCGACGUGAAAUCCCAAGGCUUAACCUUGGAACUGCGUCGGAUACUGGAUGGCUUGAAUUCGGGAGAGGGAUGCAGAAUUCCAGGUGUAGCGGUGAAAUGCGUAGAUAUCUGGAGGAAUACCGGUGGCGAAGGCGGCAUCCUGGACCGACAUUGACGCUGAACGGCGAAAGCUAGGGGAGCAAACGGG